AACUAUCAAAACACUUUAAAAGAAAAAGUGUUUUGGACUCUGGGAGUGCUGGUCUCUUUUUGAGCCGGCUCUCCUCAAAAGCAUUACUUUGGAGACCAUCAGUGUGAUAAUUUUGUUUAUGCCGCUGGCUUCUCCCUUCUGUCCC
rnacentral:misc_RNA from 1 species